GACGAACGCUGGCGGCGUGCCUAAUACAUGCAAGUAGAACGCUGAAGGAGGAGCUUGCUUCUCUGGAUGAGUUGCGAACGGGUGAGUAACGCGUAGGUAACCUGCCUGGUAGCGGGGGAUAACUAUUGGAAACGAUAGCUAAUACCGCAUAACAGUAGAUAUCGCAUGAUAUCUACUUGAAAGGUGCAAUUGCAUCACUACCAGAUGGACCUGCGUUGUAUUAGCUAGUUGGUGAGGUAACGCCUCACCAAGGCGACGAUACAUAGCCGACCUGAGAGGGUGAUCGGCCACACUGGGACUGAGACACGGCCCAGACUCCUACGGGAGGCAGCAGUAGGGAAUCUUCGGCAAUGGACGGAAGUCUGACCGAGCAACGCCGCGUGAGUGAAGAAGGUUUUCGGAUCGUAAAGCUCUGUUGUAAGAGAAGAACGAGUGUGAGAGUGGAAAGUUCACACUGUGACGGUAUCUUACCAGAAAGAGACGGCUAACUACGUG
rnacentral:rRNA from 1 species